GAAGUGGCCGCUUGGGAUGCCCUCCUCCAGGACAUCGCCCUCCUCCCGAUGAACGUCGCCGACACCCCGGACGCCAUCUCUUGGCGUCUGGAACCAUCCGGCUGCUUCUCCACCAAAUCCCUCUACGCGGCCAUCGCCCCCUCGACGGCCCCCGAGCCCUUUAGUUUGAUUUGGGACAUCCGCUUGCCCCUGAAAAUCAGGAUCUUCCUAUGGCAAUGGAUCUGCGGCCGCCUCCCGUCCGGCGUGGAGGUCCUUAAGCGUAAUGGACCUGGAGAUGGGAUGUGUCCCCUGUGCGGCACGGUGGAGGAUGCUAACCACAUCUUCUUCUCGUGCUCCACGACCCAGUUUCUUUGGUCCAGUUUCCGCGAGACGGUUGGGGGCCAGUGGUGCAACACCAACUUCCCUGACCUGCUUGUGGAGAUUCAUGCCCCCCCUCGCUACCGCCAUAUUAGAUGGCUAUGCGUUGGGGUCCUUGCCUGGACGCUUUGGACCGUCCGCAAUAAGCAUGUCAUCCAGAAGGUGCCUCUUCGACGCUACUGA
rnacentral:rRNA from 1 species